GGCCGGUUGGCGCAGCGGGAGCGCAGGUGCCUUACAAGCACAAGGUCACAGGUUCAAAUCCUGUACCGGCCACCA
rnacentral:tRNA from 5 species